GAUGAACGCUGGCGGCGUGCCUAAUACAUGCAAGUCGAGCGAACGGACGAGAAGCUUGCUUCUCUGAUGUUAGCGGCGGACGGGUGAGUAACACGUGGAUAACCUACCUAUAAGACUGGGUUAACUUCGGGAAACCGGAGCUAAUACCGGAUGAUAUUUUGAACCGCAUGGUUCAAAAGUGAAAGACGGUCUUGCUGUCACUUAUAGAUGGAUCCGCGCUGCAUUAGCUAGUUGGUAAGGUAACGGCUUACCAAGGCAACGAUGCAUAGCCGACCUGAGAGGGUGAUCGGCCACACUGGAACUGAGACACGGUCCAGACUCCUACGGGAGGCAGCAGUAGGGAAUCUUCCGCAAUGGGCGAAAGCCUGACGGAGCAACGCCGCGUGAGUGAUGAAGGUCUUCGGAUCGUAAAACUCUGUUAUUAGGGAAGAACAUAUGUGUAAGUAACUGUGCACAUCUUGACGGUACCUAAUCAGAAAGCCACGGCUAACUACGUG
rnacentral:rRNA from 1 species